CCCCUUUUAAAAGCACUCGUUGGGCCUCUUGCCGAUGACCCACUGAGCCGUCAAGAAAGGGCAAAGGAAAAACACCGCUUUUGGGUGAAGCGGCAGCGGGUUGUGUUGCUUUUGCUUCAAUCGGUGGUGUGACAAGG
ensembl:snoRNA small nucleolar RNA SNORA21